CUUCUUCGAUCUGCUGCGGGCAGAUGAAGUGGAUGUGGCUGUCGAUGCCGCCCGCCGUGACGAUCAUCCCUUCGGCCGCAAUGAUCUCGGUGCCUGGGCCGAUCACGAUGUCCACGCCCGGCUGCACGUCGGGGUUGCCGGCCUUGCCGAUCUUGGCGAUGCGCCCGCCGCGCAAACCGAUGUCGGCCUUGACGAUGCCCCAGUGGUCCAGGAUCAGCGCGUUGGUGAGCACGCAAUCGACCGCGUGCUGCAGGCCCGGGCCGUUGACGCGCUGGCUCUGGCCCAUGCCGUCGCGGAU
rnacentral:sRNA from 1 species